rnacentral:lncRNA from 1 species
UGUCAAAUGUCAAACUUAAAUUUCCCCGUCAUGUUUUAUCUUGAAAUUUAAACGUAUACAAAGAUUAACGAUGAAGAAGUGCUGAUGAUUCCGAGGAAAUCGAACAAUAUGAGGUUGCUCAAUAUUGAGAAAGCACCGACAGUACUAAGAGUUACAAAAAUAAGCAGCUGAAGCAGUGAAACAUUCAUGGAGUCUAAAAGGAGCAACUGAAGAGGUUUGGAGAUGUGUCCUAGCCUCCUCAAGCAAGUAAUGUCAUCAUGUGUAACUCUUUUUGUGGGGAUAUUUGAAUGAUAAAAUAUAUCAACACAAAACCCUUGAUAAGCAUAACUUGAAGGCAGCGAUUCGUAGAGAGAUGAAAUUGAUCAUAGAACUGUAACAAGUGUGAUGGAGCUUUAAGGACAAAUUAAAGAUUACACAAAGCUCAUCGAUUGCGUUCAAAGGCACAAUCUCUGGAUGAAAUGGGAGUACCAAGACACUUCAUAACCAUCAUCAACAAUCUCUGUAGAAGAGAAUGUCAGGUAAGGGUGCAUACUCAGUCCAACAUCUAUGGCGAGUGGACCAUGAGAAAGUCUUGGAAGACUGGAAUAUCACCCUGAUUGGGGCAUCAGAAGAGGAACUAAAUGAACUUUAACGAAGAAGGCUCCAGCGGAGAGAUUAACAGGGGAAGCCAGCUAGCCACACUAAAGAACAUAUGAAGAAGUCAUGCAAUCUCUUUGACAAUGAAAAUGAGGCAGGUAAGGAGUCUAGUGCAAAAGAUGUUUUGCUGGUGCAGAAUUCUAAGAAUUCCGUGGACACCGAGGAGAACUAACGAGUCACUACAACUGAAACCAAGAAAAAAGAUGCAAGCAUGGUGGAGGAAAACAUUGCAACAUUUUUUGGACAUGUGGUGAAGAAAUGGUCUCGACCUUAUCAUAAACAACAUUACGACACAAAGUUUGGCGCGCACAUUUAAGAUGGCUAAGAACAGGAAUGAAUGGAAAAAUGCUCUGGAGAGCAACUCUUAAAAACACGAUUCUCGAAUAAAAGAUUUCAAUUGAGAAGAUUGUAGGUGAGUUAUUGAUACAUUCAUUUCACUUUGAUUUCAAUGUCAAAUAGUCGUUUUUUUCGACAUUGUAUCACUUUAAUUUCAUCCGACAAUACAAUAAGAAUUGAACUAUUACUUUAGAAUUAUAAACCUUUGUACAUACGUAGAGCUUGACACACCCAAGAGCAUUUUAAAUGCAUAUAAUUAGCCUUGCUGUAUAUAUAGUAUUAUCUUGCUGUUUCAAUUCUAUAGUGGGAACAUAUUUAACCAGGUAUUAAGAGUUGCGUGUCUAUACGACAUAAUUUUCGGCCACUGUGGUUUGUAUGAAUCCACGUGUGUAACGCCCAAAUAUAUUUAUCUCUAAAUUUCUGCGUUAAAUAUUGUUUGUUUUAAGAGAAUUGAAUUGUAGAAUUACUAUUAUUAAAGCUUAAAAUAUAACAGAAAAAUAGAAAGAUAAACACAUUAUUAUACUUAGAUUAAUGCUUAGAUUGUACUUUCAAUUCAAGUUCUAUAUGAGUUAUUUUUUCAUAAACAUAACUUUUUAAGUUAACAUAAAAGCUUAAAAUGAAUCAAUAACUUCUUUUGACUCAAAAAAAAGUCAUUACAACACUUAAAACCAACAAGAUAAAUGUUUGUAAAGGUAACUUCACGGCGACUGGCAGCACUUAACCCUCGUGACAAACCAAUUGGGACGCUGAUACAUCGGUCCGGUUGCGCACAUAAACAAACGUCGCGAACAUAACUCUUAUCGAGAUUAAUUUAAUGUAAACCCGGUGCUUUGGGUUUCCGUGGAAUGCCGCGGCGGCAACACCAUGCUUUGUACAGCGCGAUGGCGGCCAAAUGAGAG